ACCUCUUAUUACUCAACAUGUUCUCUUAUUAUAUCGCUGUGCAGCAGUGGUUCUCAAAGGUUUUCACACUAUGGUUCAUAUUAGGGGUGGGCGAUAUGGACUUAAAAUAAUAUCACAAUUUCAUGGAAUUUCGUGAUAACGAAAAAAUAGUUCAAGAAUAUUCUACUACACUACUGCUACAAACUGAAAAUUAAAAUUACAUUUUAUUAUUGCAUACUAUGAUAUUUUAGUAGAGAUAUUAAAAAAAUACAAGAAUUUUAUCAGAUUUGUAACAGAAGUCAAUAAUCCAGAAUAUGAUGAUACUAAUAGUAAUAAUAAUACACUCCAAAUAUCUCCAUAUAUGCAGGAUUAAAGUAAAAUAAAUGAUACUGGACAGAUAUAAUCUGUCUCUAGUAGAUAUAUAAUAGGAAAUGAGAACAGUGUGAAUUUUUCUUUUGAUAAAAACAGUACAAAACUUGCUUGCCUUAAUUAGUGUACUCAACAUAUAACCCCCUGCAAUAUACAAGAACUAAAGUUAGCAGAGUAAACAUUAGCGGCACGCUAGCUAACAUACUAACGUUAGUGGCAAGCUAGUUAAAGUCACUGGGGAGAGAAGUAAGGCUAGUGUAGAGCUAACUAACAUUAGUGGUGAGCUAGCCAAAGUUAACGGGGAGAGAACUAAGGUUAGCGUAAAGCUAGCUACCGUUACUGGGGAGAGAACUAUGGUUAGCGUAGAGCUAGCUGAAAUUAGAUGCAAGCUAGCUAACGUUACUGGGGACAGAACUAAGGUUAGCGUUGGGCUAGCUGAAAUUAGAUGCAAGCUAGCUAACGUUACUGGGGACAGAACUAAGAUUAGCGUAGAGCUAGCUGAAAUUAGAUGCAAGCUAGCUAACGUUACUGGGGAGAGAAGUAAGGUUAGUGUAGAGCUAACGAACUUUAGCGGAGAGCUAGCUAACGUUACUGGGGAAAGAACUAAGGUUAGCGUAGAACUAGCUGAAAUUAGAUGCAAGCUAGCUAACGUUUCUGGGGACAGAACUAAGGUUAGCAGAGUUAUCAUUAGUGGCGGGCUAGCUUACAUUAGCA